UACGUAGGGCGCAAGCGUUGUCCGGAAUUAUUGGGCGUAAAGAGCUCGUAGGCGGUCUGUUACGUCCGCUGUGAAAACCCAGGGCUUAACCCUGGGCUUGCAGUGGAUACGGGCAGACUAGAGGCAGGUAGGGGAGAAUGGAAUUCCCGGUGUAGCGGUGAAAUGCGCAGAUAUCGGGAGGAACACCGGUGGCGAAGGCGGUUCUCUGGGCCUUACCUGACGCUGAGGAGCGAAAGCGUGGGGAGCGAACAGG
rnacentral:rRNA from 1 species